CUCAACGAAGAAACUUUAGCUAAUUCCGAUCUUGAGAUCCUGGAUAAUCCAUCUAACGUGGUCGAAGAGAAACGUCCCGCCCCAAACACUAUCAUUCCCACGGACCAACGUGAAAUACUUGCCGGCCUCUCCAACUACAUCCUGUCGAUCAAUGAUGUUGGAUGUUUGGAGAAGGUGUGGGUCCGGAGCUCCACACCCGAUCCAAUGAGCUUAUGUCUUAAGAAACUUCAGUGCAUACUUAACAUGGAGCAGCCCAUGUACAAAAAUUGCUUCAACACCGCCGUGCUUAUGCUGGCAUGUGACGAGGGAGUCUUGUUCACAGACCCUCCUAUACACUACAUGGAUCUACGAUUUUGUUCCAUGCUGCUAGAGUCAACAUGAGGUCAGAAGUUUUGUGAGAAGGAAACUAUCCAGACGUUGGCAACAUUAUUUGAUAGCUGGCCUGGGAUGGAGACCGACAUCUCAUCUUGCAAUAAGAUUUAUCUUCCCUAUGCAUCAAUCGGCCGAUACAUCCUGUACAUCAUCGACAGAGAGGCACGUCGUCUAUAUAUUAUGGAACCUAUUCAAUCAUCACAAUCGUCAGAGGAUAAAAACUUGAGGCAUUCACUGAAAUUAAAAAGUUUUUCAAGGGAUUUCAAAGAAGCACUUGAAAUAAAGCUGCCUGGGUGGAAUUCUGAUAUAUCUAAAUGGCAUCGUUUAUUCCCGGCCGAUGUUCCAACGAGUAUAAUUUGGAUGUAACUUUUCGAGUAGAUGAUUUUUCAUAUAAAAAACUUUUUCAUCCGAGUUAGUAUGCAAAAGUUAUGCCCAUAUUUACA